AGUAAGAGCAUACGGUGGAUGCCUUGGCGAUAUCUGCCGAUGAAGGACGCGACAAGCUGCGAAAAGCUGCGGAGAGGUGCAAAUGACCAUUGACCCGCAGAUCUCCGAAUGGAGCAAUCCGGCAGGGUUUAUCCCCUGUCACCCAUAUCUUCGAAUAUGGGAGGGAACCGGGCGAACUGAAACAUCUAAGUAGCCCGAGGAAGAGUAAUCAAACGAGAUACCCCAAGUAGCGGCGAGCGAACGGGGCCUAAGCCCAAACCGGUGAAGGAAACUUUGCCGGGGUUGAGGACUGCCAUACGAACUCAACCAUUAGCCGAAAUUCCUGGGAAGGAAUGCCGAAGAAUGUGAAAGCCAUGUAAGCGAAAAUGGAAAAGGGACAGGCAGCACCAGAGUACCGCGGGACACGAGAAACCCCGUGGGAAGCCGGGGGGACCACCCUCCAAGGCAAAACACAGAUAUCGACCGAUAGCGCAUAGUACCAUGAGGGAAAGGUGAAAAGCACCCCGGGAGGGGAAUGAAACAGAACCUGAAACCGUAUGUUUACAAGCAGUCGAAGACCGCUUAAUAAUAAGGUCAACGGCGUGCCUAUUGAAGAAUGAACCGGCGAGUUAUGAGGUCCAGCAAGGUUAAGCAGGAAAUGCGGAGCCGAAGCGAAAGCGAGUCUUAAUAGGGCGACAAGUUGGAUUGCAUAGACCCGAAACCACAGUGAUCUACCCAUGUCCAGGCUGAAGCACAGGUAAAAAUGUGUGGAGGGCCGAACCUAUAUCCGUUGAAAAGGGUUAGGAUGAGGUGUGGGUAGGGGUGAAAUUCCAAUCGAACGUGGAGAUAGCUGGUUCUCCCCGAAAUAGCUUUAGGGCUAGCCUCGAGGUAGAGAUUGCAGGCGGUAGAGCACUGAUCAGGAGAGGGGCCUACCCGGCUACCAAACCCAGUCAAACUACGAAUGGCUGCAAUUAUACUCGGGAGUCAGACUACGACUUAUAAGGGCCGUGGUCAAAAGGGAAACAGCCCAGAUCAUCAGCUAAGGUCCCAAAUGCCGUGCUAAGUGGCGAAGGAUGUGGCGUUUCAUAAACAACCAGGAUGUUGGCUCAGAAGCAGCCACCAUUUAAAGAGUGCGUAAUAGCUCACUGGUCGAGAGACGCUGCGCCGAAAAUGUCCGGGGCUCAAGCACGGAACCGAAGCUAUGGCAUUGACUAUGUCAAUGGGUAGGGGAGCGUUCUUAACAGGAAGAAGCAUGACCGAAAGGACAUGUGGACCGUUAAGAAGUGAGAAUGCCGGUAUGAGUAUCGAAAAGAAAGGUGAGAAUCCUUUCCACCGAAAGCCCGAGGGUUCCUGAGCAACGAUCGUCGUCUCAGGGUAAGUCGGGACCUAAGCCGAGGCGGAGACGCAUAGGCGAUGGACAACAGGUUGAAAUUCCUGUACCGGAUACAAUCGUUUGAGCGAUGGAGCGACGCAGAAAGGUAUAUGAUCGCGCGACUGGAAGAGCGCGUCCAAGUGCGUAUGUUGAAUCGGAGGCAAAUCCCUGAUUCUGAAAGCAGAGACACGAUGGGGAGUUAUACGAAAGUAUGACGAACUCAUAGAUCCUACACUGCCAAGAAAAACUUCUAGUGAGAAAGUAUCCGCCCGUACCGUAAACCGACACAGGUAGGCGGGGAGAGAAUCCUAAGGUGCGCGGGAAAACCCUCGUUAAGGAACUCGGCAAAUUGCAUCCGUAACUUAGGGAGAAGGAUGACCUUAAGUAAGCGAAAGGGAGAAACCCCUGGAACAGAACAAGGUGGCAGAAAAGAGGCCCAAGCAACUGUUUACCAAAAACACAGGUGCCUGCGAAAGCGAAAGCUGAAGUAUAGGUGCUGACGCCUGCCCGGUGCUGGAAGGUUAAGGAGAGAUGUCAGAGCAAUCGAAGCAUUGAACUGAAGCCCCAGUGAACGGCGGCCGUAACUAUAACGGUCCUAAGGUAGCGAAAUUCCUUGUCGGGUAAGUUCCGACCCGCAUGAAAGGCGUAAUGAUUUGGGCACUGUCUCAACGAGGGGCCCGGUGAAAUUGAAAUACCUGUGAAGAUGCAGGUUACCCGCGACUGGACAGAAAGACCCCAUGGAGCUUCACUGCAGCUUGAGAUUGAAUCUCGGUGAUGCAUGCACAGGAUAGGUGGGAGACUUUGAAGUAUGGGCUUUGGCUUAUACUGAGUCGAUGUUGGGAUACCACCCUUGCGAUAUU
rnacentral:rRNA from 1 species